UAGGGGGCGGGCAGAGCAAGGGAGUGACAGCAGGGUCCUCGCCAGCGACCUCCUCUGGGUGUCCCUGGGUGUGGUUGGGCACCACUGCCGUACCCGAGAUGAUUCUGGAGAGCCCUUAUAGCAACUCUCUCAUAAUUUCAAAGUUGCGCAUUUAUUUGUGUGUGUUAGAGAAAUACAUUUUUAUUUGCUUACAGUAGUGAUGUAAAGUGACCUUGUCAAAGGAAUUUGAGUCCCCCAAAAAGUAAUAGAGCAGUGAGCCCUUAUUGAAGACACACCUGCAGCUUGGGUCCAGAAAGUACAGCCAUGCAUACUCAAGAGUGGCCAACCUUGAAAUAUUUUAAAGUCUGAAUAUUUCACUGAAAAUCUCCCUAUUUUUAAAUAUGCCAGCACAGCUUAUUUUGUCUUUAAUAUAUACUGGGAGCCAAAGAAAAUAUGUCUGAGGGGUGAGUGUGUGGCUCACAGACCCUUUUCACAACCUCUGGCUGAAAGGUCAGUACAGAAACCUUUCAUUUUGGAUGCUGGAAGAUUAGUAAAGACCCUAAACCUGUUCUUAGCACUCCGCCUCAUUUCACAGCCAGGGCCACUGUAGCCCAAAAUAGAGAUCUGCCCAGAAUCAGAGUGAGGUGUUUGUGGCAUAAUCAAAAUGGAAUGCAAGAUCAUGGGAAUUCAGAGGGGAGCGUGGAAAUCGUAUUCAUCAAAUUGAAAGGAAACUCACAUAUUCUGUGACAUAUUGAGGGCUCAGAGUGGGAGCUAAAGGCAAGUGUUUCAAAAUCUUACAGGCGACAUGAGAAAACGAACCAUCUCAAGAGUAAAUAUUACCUGAAGUGAAUUCCCCAAACUUGUCAUUGAAUGUACACAAAUCACCAAAAAGCUGUCUCCCUAAAGAAGUGCUUUUAUUCAACUAUGCGUCACUAUUAUACCCUCAUGAAGACUGGGAGCAUAAUGUCAAGUGUAAAGAGCCAGACACAGAUGACAUUUACAUUUUUGUAAAACCACCACUGAGAAUUUUAUUCAUUAUAUUUAGAAUGCCACUCUGUACAAGGAAUCCCAUUCCAACCUUACUUUCAGAACUCAGGACCCUGAAAACAUCUGUUUAGUCUGAUGAACUGGUGUACACCUGGUUAUUAAAUAACAAGAGCCACAUACCCUGUGUUCUUUCCCUCUUUGCCCUGGCAGCUAGGAAGCUCAGGUUUGAGUUUUAUAUUAAGUUGUUGUUUAAAGUGGAAACAUUUUAAAAUCCAACUGCAUUAUAUGUUAUACUGAUUAGUGUU